rnacentral:rRNA from 1 species
UACGAAGGGGGCUAGCGUUGUUCGGAAUCACUGGGCGUAAAGGGCGCGUAGGCGGCCGAUCAAGUCGGGGGUGAAAGCCUGUGGCUCAACCACAGAAUUGCCUUCGAUACUGUUUGGCUUGAGACCGGAAGAGGUUAGUGGAACUGCGAGUGUAGAGGUGAAAUUCGUAGAUAUUCGCAAGAACACCGGUGGCGAAGGCGGCGUCCUGGACCAACACUGACACUGAGGAGCGAAAGCCAGGGGAGCAAACGGG